AGUGCCCUGCUGUGUUCGUGUAAGCCCGGAUGUUUUGAGCCAACACAUACACUAUGGGAGCCUAACUCUGAUUAUGGCAUGUAUGCCCCAUACUCUUUUGGGGGACACAUAAAGUAAUCAGGAGGGCACCCACCUGCCGGGGGCAGGUUCAAAACAACGGCAAUACGGCAUGGUGGGGACUUA
rnacentral:other from 1 species